rnacentral:rRNA from 1 species
CGGCCGCGGUACCCUAACCGUGCGAAGGUAGCAUAAUCACUUGUUCUUUAAAUGAGGACUCGUAUCAACGGCAUCACGAGGAUCCUACUGUCUCCCCCCUCUAAUCGGUGAAACUGAUCUCUCCGUGAAGAAGCGGAGAUGUACAUAUAAGACGAGAAGACCCCAUGGAGCUUUAAACCCAACAACACCCGCCCCCCUCCAAAUCCUAUUAUUUACCCGGUGAUUGUUUGUUUGGUUUUAGGUUGGGGUGACCGCGGAGUAUAAGAUAUCCUCCAUGAAAAAAAGCUAACUGCCCUUAUUAGAGAAAGACACUUCCAAAAAAUAAUAAAUUAAUUUUAAAUGAUCCGACAUUCGAUCAACGAACCAAGUUACCCUGGGGAUAACAGCGCAAUCCGCCCCGAGAGCCCCUAUCGACAGGCGGGUUUACGACCUCGAUGUUGGAUCAGGGUAUCCCAGUGGUGCAGCAGCUACUAAAGGUUCGUUUGUUCAACGAUUAAAACCCUA